rnacentral:pre_miRNA from 5 species
CCGCGAGGCAGGUUCUGGUGGAGGGGAGGUCGUGCCCGCCUGAUCCGGCAACCACGAUCUCCCUGCCGGCAGAUCCGAUCACCCGG